UACGGGAGGCAGCAGUGGGGAAUAUUGCACAAUGGGCGAAAGCCUGAUGCAGCUAUGCCGCGUGUAUGAAGAAGGCCUUAGGGUUGUAAAGUACUUUCAUCGGGGAGGAAAAAACAAAACUAAUAAUUUUAUUUCUUGACGUUACCCGAAAAAGAAGCACCGGCUAACUCCGUGCCAGCAGCCGCGGUAAUACGGAGGGUGCUAGCGUUAAUCAGAAUUACUGGGCGUAAAGAGCGCGUAGGUGGUUUUUUUAAGUCAGAUGUGAAAUCCCUGGGCUUAACCUGGAACUGCAUUUUGAAACUGAAAUACUAGAGUAUCGUAGAGGGAGGUAGAAUUCUAGGUGUAGCGGUGAAAUGCGUAGAUAUCUGGAGGAAUACCUGUGGCGAAAGCGGCCUCCUAAACGAAUACUGACACUGAGGUGCGAAAGCGUGGGGAGCAAACAGGGAUUAGAUACC
rnacentral:rRNA from 1 species